CUGCUUCUAACCGAGGCCCCAUGACCCGAGGCGUGGAAGCUUUUGGUUGUAGCUGAGGUCCUCGAAUGGACGAAGCCCCGAAGUUGAUGCGCGAGCCUCAACCACAAGGAAACAUCCUCCAUGGUCACUUCUCCCAAGAGAUCGCCUGCACAGAUCUUAUUCGAAUGAUUGAUGGAAUGUUUGUCAUAAGCAUAAAGGUCAAGUCUUG
rnacentral:lncRNA from 1 species